UGACUCUCACGGUGACUCCGAC
rnacentral:snRNA from 1 species